UACGGAGGGGGCUAGCGUUGUUCGGAAUUACUGGGCGUAAAGCGCACGUAGGCGGCUUUGUAAGUUUGAGGUGAAAGCCCAGGGCUUAACCCUGGAAUUGCCUUUAAGACUGCAUCGCUAGAAUUGUGGAGAGGUAAGUGGAAUUCCGAGUGUAGAGGUGAAAUUCGUAGAUAUUCGGAAGAACACCAGUGGCGAAGGCGACUUACUGGACACAUAUUGACGCUGAGGUGCGAAAGCGUGGGGAGCAAACAGG
rnacentral:rRNA from 1 species